rnacentral:rRNA from 1 species
UGGGGGAUAUUGCACAAUGGGGGAAACCCUGAUGCAGCGACGCCGCGUGGAGGAAGAAGGUUUUCGGAUUGUAAACUCCUGUCGUUAGGGACGAUAAUGACGGUACCUAACAAGAAAGCACCGGCUAACUACGUGCCAGCAGCCGCGGUAAAACGUAGGGUGCAAGCGUUGUCCGGAAUUACUGGGUGUAAAGGGAGCGCAGGCGGACCGGCAAGUUGGGAGUGAAAUCCAUGGGCUCAACCCGUGAAUUGCUUUCAAAACUGCUGGCCUUGAGUAGUGCAGAGGUAGGUGGAAUUCCCGGUGUAGCGGUGGAAUGCGUAGAUAUCGGGAGGAACACCAGUGGCGAAGGCGACCUACUGGGCACCAACUGACGCUGAGGCUCGAAAGCAUGGGUAGCAAACAGGAUUAGAUACCCUGGUAGUCCAUGCCGUAAACGAUGAUUACUAGGUGUUGGAGGAUUGACCCCUUCAGUGCCGCAGUUAACACAAUAAGUAAUCCACCUGGGGAGUACGACCGCAAGGUUGAAACUCAAAGGAAUUGACGGGGGCCCGCACAAGCAGUGGAGUAUGUGGUUUAAUUCGAAGCAACGCGAAGAACCUUACCAGGUCUUGACAUCCGAUGCAUAGUGCAGAGAUGCAUGAAGUCCUUCGGGACAUCGAGACAGGUGGUGCAUGGUUGUCGUCAGCUCGUGUCGUGAGAUGUUGGGUUAAGUCCCGCAACGAGCGCAACCCUUAUUGCCAGUUACUACGUAAGAGGACUCUGGCGAGACUGCCGUUGACAAAACGGAGGAAGGUGGGGAUGACGUCAAAUCAUCAUGCCCUUUAUGACCUGGGCUACACACGUACUACAAUGGCGUUUAACAAAGAGAAGCAAGACCGCGAGGUGGAGCAAAACUCAGAAACAACGUCUCAGUUCAGAUUGCAGGCUGCAACUCGCCUGCAUGAAGUCGGAAUUGCUAGUAAUCGCGGAUCAGCAUGCCGCGGUGAAUACGUUCCC